UACGUAGGGACCAAGCGUUGUUCGGAUUUACUGGGCGUAAAGGGCGCGUAGGCGGCCUAGCAAGUCACUUGUGAAAUCUCCGGGCUUAACCCGGAAACUGCCAUUGAUACUAUCUGUCUUGAAUACCGUGGAGGUGAGCGGAAUAUGUCAUGUAGCGGUGAAAUGCUUAGAUAUGACACAGAACACCGAUUGCGUAGGCAGCUCGCUAAACUCCUACUGACGCUGAGGCACGAAAGCAUGGGGAUCAAACAGG
rnacentral:rRNA from 1 species